GUAGGUGGCGAGCGUUGUCCGGAUUUACUGGGUGUAAAGGGCGCGUAGGCGGGAAUGUAAGUCAGAUGUGAAAUCCAUGGGCUUAACCCAUGAACUGCAUUUGAAACUGUAUUUCUUGAGUGUCGGAGAGGUAGACGGAAUUCCUAGUGUAGCGGUGAAAUGCGUAGAUAUUAGGAGGAACACCAGUGGCGAAGGCGGUCUACUGGACGAUAACUGACGCUGAGGCGCGAAAGCGUGGGGAGCAAA
rnacentral:rRNA from 1 species